rnacentral:lncRNA from 1 species
CUGGGUCAAAAGGGAGGGUAGAAAUUUGAACUCUGCUCCAGUUUCUAAAGAGUGUCGUCAUGUGUGAGAUAGAGUUGCACUUUCAGUUCAACUCAUGGACAGUCAUAAAGUUCUUCAUUUCAGCUUGAAAAACUGGUCAGUUUUACCCUAUUGAAACAUCAUCAGAAAGAAAAUUAUUGCUUGAAAGCAAUUUCCUACUGGA